rnacentral:sRNA from 1 species
GCUGGGCACAGUGAUGCACACCUGUAAUCCCAGUGACUUGGGAGGCUGAGACAGGAGGAUUGCAAGUUCAAAGCCAGCUUCAGCAAUUUAGCAAGACCCUAUCUCUA